rnacentral:rRNA from 1 species
AGAGUUUGAUCAUGGCUCAGGAUGAACGCUGGCGGCGUGCCUAAUACAUGCAAGUCGAGCGAACUGAUUAGAAGCUUGCUUCUAUGACGUUAGCGGCGGACGGGUGAGUAACACGUGGGCAACCUGCCUGUAAGACUGGGAUAACUUCGGGAAACCGAAGCUAAUACCGGAUAGGAUCUUCUCCUUCAUGGGAGAUGAUUGAAAGAUGGUUUCGGCUAUCACUUACAGAUGGGCCCGCGGCGCAUUAGCUAGUUGGUGAGGUAACGGCUCACCAAGGCCACGAUGCGUAGCCGACCUGAGAGGGUGAUCGGCCACACUAGGACUGAGACACGGCCCAGACUCCUACGGGAGGCAGCAGUAGGGAAUCUUCCGCAAUGGACGAAAGUCUGACGGAGCAACGCCGCGUGAGUGAUGAAGGUUUUCGGAUCGUAAAACUCUGUUGACAGGGAAGAACAAGUACCGGAGUAACUGCCGGUACCUUGACGGUACCUGACCAGAAAGCCACGGCUAACUACGUGCCAGCAGCCGCGGUAAUACGUAGGUGGCAAGCGUUGUCCGGAAUUAUUGGGCGUAAAGCGCGCGCAGGCGGUUCCUUAAGUCUGAUGUGAAAGCCCCCCGGCUCAACCCGGGGGAGGGUCAUUGGAACUGGGA